AAAGGUAAGCUACUAAGAGCGAAUGGUGGAUGCCUUGACUGGUAAAGGCGAUGAAGGACGUACUAGACUGCGAUAAGCUACGGGGAGCUGUCAAGAAGCUUUGAUCCGUAGAUUUCCGAAUGGGGCAACCCAAUGUAUAGAGAUAUACAUUACCUAUAUAGGAGCGAACGAGGGGAAUUGAAACAUCUUAGUACCCUCAGGAAAAGAAAUCAAUAGAGAUUGCGUCAGUAGCGGCGAGCGAAAGCGCAAGAGGGCAAACCCAGUGCUUGCACUGGGGGUUGUAGGACUGCAAUGUGCAAGAGCUGAGUUUAGCAGAACAUUCUGGAAAGUAUAGCCAUAGAGGGUGAUAGUCCCGUAUGCGAAAAACAAAGCUUAGCUAGCAGUAUCCUGAGUAGGGCGGGACACGAGGAAUCCUGUCUGAAUCCGGGUCGACCACGAUCCAACCCUAAAUACUAAUACCAGAUCGAUAGUGCACAAGUACCGUGAGGGAAAGGUGAAAAGAACUGAGGUGAUCAGAGUGAAAUAGAACCUGAAACCAUUUGCUUACAAUCAUUCAGAGCACUAUGUAGCAAUACAGUGUGAUGGACUGCCUUUUGCAUAAUGAGCCUGCGAGUUGUGGUGUCUGGCAAGGUUAAGCAAACGCGAAGCCGUAGCGAAAGCGAGUCUGAAUAGGGCGCUUAGUCAGAUGCUGCAGACCCGAAACGAAGUGAUCUAUCCAUGAGCAAGUUGAAGCUAGUGUAAGAACUAGUGGAGGACUGAACCCAUAGGCGUUGAAAAGCC
rnacentral:rRNA from 1 species